rnacentral:rRNA from 1 species
UAAGACGGAGGGGGCAAGCGUUGUUCGGAAUCAUUGGGCGUAAAGGGCUCGUAGGCGGACUAGUAAGUCUGGCGUGAAAUCUCCACCGCUCACCGGGGAGAGGUCGCUGGAUACUGCUAGUCUUGAGUUCGGUAGAGGGUCGUGGAAUUUCGGGUGUAGCGGUGGAAUGCGUAGAUAUCCGAAAGAACACCGGUGGCGAAGGCGGCGACCUGGGCCUGAACUGACGCUGAGGAGCGAAAGCUAGGGGAGCAAACGGGAUUAGAUACCCCGGUAGUCCUAGCUGUAAACGGUGGAUACUAGGUGUGGGGGGUAUUCGACCCCUCCCGUGCCGUAGUCAACACAUUAAGUAUCCCGCCUGGGAAGUACGGCCGCAAGGUUG